GCAGCUUCUUGGGGGCAGUUCAGUGCUUCUUUCCCCCUUUCCCUGCAAAUGGAAAGGCUGUCAAAGACCAAGGAGAUGCUGCUACAGAGAGGGAAGCGCAAAAACAGGCAUGAAGUUAGAUGGUUGCAAACACGGGGGCUCUGCUUCUGGAAUUGUAUUCAUCAUCCCAGGGGUUCCUUUCCUUUCCCUUCCUUUCUGAGACCGAUGCAAAGAAAGCGUCAUUUGAGAAAAGGGGAACCGCUCAUGGUAAGGCUUGAAUGAGCAACUCAUCCUCAGCCUGCUACACCUAAUGUGCUCGAGGGCUUUCCCAGAUGAACAUCUGAAACAACUGCGAUCUUCCCUGUGCCACUGCACCAUUUCUCCAGUUCCCGCUUUUAAAAAUACAUCCGUCUGUGGAAUUUGGCAUAUUCGAAGCAAAGAAGGCGCACGGUGACGUUCAUCACAUCUCAGUCGUGUUGGCCAUGUCUGGACAUUACCAUAAGCUGCAUUCUGGAGGGGGAAACCAGGCAUGCCUUCCCUGCGUUCCCCCACCCCCUCACCUCCUUUCCGCAAGACCGCAAAGAAGAGACUGGGCACCUUUGCUUCAUCCUUUGAUUAACUGUGGCUUGCUGUGCGAAGCUUGAGUCCGGCAAGCUUCAGUUAACCUUAACUAUGCUGUGCUUGAAUCAAGCAGAUCGCAAGCCACCGGUUGUGUUUUCUAACAAGCUUCAGACAGUUGCAUUAGGGUUUCAAUCAACUCAUUGCUUCAUCUCCUUCUCACGCCAGCCGCAGGCUGGGCUGAUUCCCAUCGUGAGCAAUUACUGUUGCCAUGAUGACCCUGCACGGCCAUGAGCGACACUCCUAAGGAGUAUUGUGACUUGCUCUUACGUAAACGCUGGAGGUAGCUAUGAAUACACAAAGGGUGCGCUUAGGUAUUGCACCCUUCCAUGAAUUAUACUAUAAAGGGCUACGCACUGGAUUAUCAGCAAGUCUAUGAGGAAUAAGUUGUGGCAAUUUACUCACCCUUUACUAAUGGUAUGUGUGAAUAGCUGAAAACUGCCAGGUGUGGGCUGACUGUAUGGAAGUGCUUGGCAAAGUAAGUAAAAUUUGGGAGACCAGCAAAAAUGUCUCCUCAGAGUUUUUUUUAAGAACAUUCACCAUGCUCCUUAGGACAACAUGUGAACAAGAGCUUCAGUGGCAAUACAUUUUAACGGGGAGCAACCAGAAACAUCUGUAGCAACAGUCACAAGUGCUGGUUCACCUCCAGAUGUGCAAUCGGACUCCACAGCAAAGCACCGUGCAAGAGGAGACAUGCAGGGUUCCUAUCAGAUGCCUGAUCUGUGAGGGCUUAAGCUCAUUUGAGCUAUGACUGCAAUCUUUCCAUACACGGCCUGAAGAGCACCUGUGCUCAGUUUGGAUCAAGCUCAUCAUGGGACAAGAAGUGCUGGAUCCUCUUCAGAGAAACACUUGCCUGGGGAACACAAUGCCAGUUGGUGUGUGAAUGAGAAAGGACCUUUUGUGAACGGUGUGACCAGUUCUUGCUCCCAAGACUACAAGCAAGCCUGGCUGAGCAAAAAACUCAAAGAGGGACAGGAAAGCAGGUGGUGGCUGUGAAAGCAGUUUGGUUCCCCUCCCUGUGGGCCUCUGCUCCUGUAGAAAUUGGAUUCCUUAUUCUAGAAUAAUAGGAAGCGAGACCUGGACUGGCACUUUGUCCAGGAUGGAGAGCAGCAGGGACCAGAUUCUGCCCCUGUUUAUUUUCCCAGGAGGAAAAAGAUGGGCAAUGAAUUCGCACAGCACUGAACCUCAAGGAGGACAGCAAGCAAGGAUCAGCCCUUCCUCACAUUUUCUCCUGUACAGCCUGACUCAGCACUGCAGGCCGCUCCCCGAGAGAAAUCUGGCUGAUAGUGCAAACAAGGUGAAGCAAGGGAGCUGCGGUCUGCCUGGGGCUGCUGUGCCAUCAUGCAGAGCAGGCACAGUCCGGGUGGCUUGUUUCAAAAACGGUAUCAGUGAGAUUGGAAAAAAUACAGAGAAAACGAUUAACAUUGUCAGAUGAUUUUCCCUUAAGAAAAGAUAAAGGUCUUGGAGACUUGUGAUGCAGAAGACAUAAUAAGCUGGAGGACGGACCUGAGCCUUACCCAAGGAGAAGUAAGGCUGGCAAGCAAGUGCUGCAGUUCAGGGUUCCAACCAGCCUGGCAGGAUCUUUUCCCCAGCACUCCGUUCCAUUUCAACCCUCCUCAAUUUUCUAUUUUUUCUUCCACCACAGUCAGACAGUGUUCCAUGCUCAGUUAUUUAUUAUUUUUAUAUCCUGCCUUUUUCCUUCCCAGGAACUCAAGGCCCCUUUCCUAAUUCUUGUCCUCCUCUCAGUCUUAUUCUCACAGAAGAACCCAGUGAGGCUGGCU